GCGGAGGUCCGUUUCCACUCUG
rnacentral:miRNA from 2 species